CGGUUGAUCCUGCCGGACCCGACUGCUAUUUGGGUGAGCUGGCCAUGCGAGUUGAAUGGGAUACCUAAAUUUCCCAUAGCAAACUGCUCAGUAACACAUGAUCAACUUACCCUAUAGAGAAAAAUAACCUCGGGAAACUGAGGAUAAUGUUUCAUAGUUGAAAAGGCUUGGAAAAGUUUUUCAACAAAAGGGAUAAGGAAAAUGGUUUCUUAUCCGCUAUAGGAUAGGAUCGUGGUCGAUUAUGGUUGUUGGUGAGGUAAUGGCUCACCAAGCCGAUAAUCGAUAGGGGCCGUGAGAGCGGGAGCCCCGAGAUGGGUACUGAGACAACGACCCAGGCCUUACGAGGCGCAGCAGGCGCGAAACCUCCGCAAUACACGAAAGUGUGACGGGGUUACCCAAAGUGUUCAAUUUUGAACUGUGGUAGGUGAGUAAUGUCCCCUACUAGAAAGGAGAGGGCAAGGCUGGUGCCAGCCGCCGCGGUAAAACCAGCUCUUCAAGUGGUCGGGAUAAUCAUUGGGCUUAAAGUGUCCGUAGCCGGUUUAGUAAGUUCCUGGUAAAAUUGGGUAGCUUAACUAUCCAUAUGCUAGGAAUACUGCUAUACUAGAGGGCGGGAGAGGUCUGAGGUACUACAGGGGUAGGGGUGAAAUCUUAUAAUCCUUGUAGGACCACCAGUGGCGAAGGCGUCAGACUGGAACGUGCCUGACGGUGAGGGACGAAAGCCAGGGGAGCGAACCGGAUUAGAUACCCGGGUAGUCCUGGCCGUAAACGAUGCAUACUAGGUGAUGGUACGGCCAUGAGCCGUAUCAGUGCCGUAGGGAAACCGUUAAGUGUGCCGCCUGGGAAGUACGGUCGCAAGGCUAAAACUUAAAGGAAUUGGCGGGGGAGCAC
rnacentral:rRNA from 1 species